CGAAGCCAGUGCAAUCAAUAGUUAAUUUUUUCUUCUUUAUUAUAAAUAGACUUUCUUUUGUGUAUUACAUGUUUUUCCCCUCUUUCAUUAUAUAUAUAAAGUUUUGUCCUUACCACUUCAACUUGACGUUUGUUUAUUGAUAUUUUGUGAGGUAUUUGCCUAUGGGAUUUUUCUUCUUCUUUCUAUUGGUAGCAGGUGUAAAUUUAAUUUUUUUUUUUUUUUUUAUCUUACUUUCACUUAAAAGAAUCUAUCCUGCUUUUACCGAUCAUUUAUUUUCAGUUGUUUUCAUAAUUGCCUUGUUUGAAACAGGUUUAGUAUUGUGCAUUAAAAACAGGGGGUUGCAUUAUUCAUAGAAGUUAAAACUAAGUAUUGGAAUAAACAUAUAGGUUAAAUAUUUAUUAGAUGAUGAAAUUUGAUUCUAGAAUAUGUAUAUGUAAGAAUCUUAAGGCUCAUUUUUGUAUUUGUAAUUAGAUUUUUUUUAUUUAUUUAUUUUUUUUUUUGGGGUAAGCGAAUGUGAAGAAAAUUGGAAUUACAAGGUCCGGGAAUUGUGAAAUGUUUGAACUAUAAAUUUAUUUUAUUUUUGGAAAUGCA
rnacentral:lncRNA from 1 species